ACAGCCUCUUGGGUGUGAAGGUCUUGGCCAGCCUCAGAGUCUUCACAGGGUCAUGGCUGGAAUAUGGAAGAAGGGGUCUACAGCCUCUUGGGUGUGAAGGUCUUGGCCAGCCUCAGAGUCUUCACAGGGUCAUGGCUGGAAUAUGGGAGAAGGGGUCUACAGCCUCUUGGGUGUGAAGGUCUUGGCCAGCCUCAGAGUCUUCACAGGGUCAUGGCUGGAAUAUGGAAGAAGGGGUCUACAGCCUCUUGGGUGUGAAGGUCUUGGCCAGCCUCAGAGUCUUCACAGGGUCAUGGCUGGAAUAUGGAAGAAGGGGUCUACAGCCUCUUGGGUGUGAAGGUCUUGGCCAGCCUCAGAGUCUUCACAGGGUCAUGGCUGGAAUAUGGAAGAAGGGGUCUACAGCCUCUUGGGUGUGAAGGUCUUGGCCAGCCUCAGAGUCUUCACAGGGUCAUGGCUGGAAUAUGGAAGAAGGGGUCUACAGCCUCUUGGGUGUGAAGGUCUUGGCCAGCCUCAGAGUCUUCACAGGGUCAUGGCUGGAAUAUGGGAGAAGGGGUCUACAGCCUCUUGGGUGUGAAGGUCUUGGCCAGCCUCAGAGUCUUCACAGGGUCAUGGCUGGAAUAUGGAAGAAGGGGUCUACAGCCUCUUGGGUGUGAAGGUCUUGGCCAGCCUCAGAGUCUUCACAGGGUCAUGGCUGGAAUAUGGAAGAAGGGGUCUACAGCCUCUUGGGUGUGAAGGUCUUGGCCAGCCUCAGAGUCUUCACAGGGUCAUGGCUGGAAUAUGGAAGAAGGGGUCUACAGCCUCUUGGGUGUGAAGGUCUUGGCCAGCCUCAGAGUCUUCACAGGGUCAUGGCUGGAAUAUGGAAGAAGGGGUCUACAGCCUCUUGGGUGUGAAGGUCUUGGCCAGCCUCAGAGUCUUCACAGGGUCAUGGCUGGAAUAUGGAAGAAGGGGUCUACAGCCUCUUGGGUGUGAAGGUCUUGGCCAGCCUCAGAGUCUUCACAGGGUCAUGGCUGGAAUAUGGGAGAAGGGGUCUACAGCCUCUUGGGUGUGAAGGUCUUGGCCAGCCUCAGAGUCUUCAGGCUGUAGCUGUUGAUAAUUCUGAUAAUGUCUCUUGAGUGUGUGUGUGUGUGUGUGUGUGUGUGUGUGAGUGUGAGAUGACUUGACGAGGGUGUGUUAAUAGGGGCAAACAGCGGUACAGGAGACUUACAAGAGGCGAGGACAAACAGCUGUGGUUCAGUUAAGUCCUUCAACUAACUCGGAGUCGUGCAUUUGAUUUUAUUUAAUUUAAUAUUUUUUUUUCCACGGCCCAAAACGGAGGUAGAUAAAAAGGCCGCUACUCACUGCUCCUAAAAAGAGUUAGAGGAGUGGCUGAAAGAGAGGUCAAUUUCAGGAGGAGAGGUGUCCUGAUACCCUCCUCUUGAAAGAGUUCAAGUCGUAGGCAGGAGGAAAUACAGACGAAGGAAGAUUGUUCCAGAGUUUACCAGCGUGAGGGAUGAAAGAGUGAAGAUGCUGGUUAACUCUUGCGUAAGGGGUUUGGACAGUAUAGGGAUGAAAGAGUGAAGAUGCUGGUUAACUCUUGCAUAAGGGGUUUGGACAGUAUAGGGAUGAAAGAGUGAAGAUGCUGGUUAACUCUUGCAUAAGGGAUUUGGACAGUAUAGGGAUGAAAGAGUGAAGAUGCUGGUUAACUCUUGCAUAAGGGGUUUGGACAGUAUAGGGAUGAAAGAGUGAAGAUGCUGGUUAACUCUUGCAUAAGGGGUUUGGACAGUAUAGGGAUGAAAGAGUGAAGAUGCUGGUUAACUCUUGCAUAAGGGGUUUGGACAGUAUAGGGAUGAAAGAGUGAAGAUGCUGGUUAACUCUUGCAUAAGGGGUUUGGACAGUAUAGGGAUGAAAGAGUGAAGAUGCUGGUUAACUCUUGCAUAAGGGGUUUGGACAGUAUAGGGAUGAAAGAGUGAAGAUGCUGGUUAACUCUUGCAUAAGGGGUUUGGACAGUAUAGGGAUGAAAGAGUGAAGAUGCUGGUUAACUCUUGCGUAAAGCUUCCUAGGAGUGUGAGGCAUUUCCAGGGGUAGUUAUCUGAGCCUGGUGGUUGUUUGACCCUUCCUGUACUGUGAACCUGUGCCUGAACUUAAGAAAACACUCAUUACAACCCGACCGAUCUCCUUUUUGGCAUUUGGAAAUAUUUGUUGUGAGAGGCGGAACCAUAGCGCAGAUUCUAGAUGCUUCGGCGGGGCGGAGAUAGACACGUGGCAGAGAGCUCUUUGGGUAGUUGGCGGUGAGAUGAGGAGGAGGAAGGGGUUGGUAGUGAUGUACCCGGGAGGAAGGAGGGGCGUUGGUGAGGGCGCCCAGAGAACCCGGACCCAUAUUCUCAGACCUUUCAGCGCCUUAGUGUAUCCAUUUAAAGAGGCUCUCGUAGAAGGUUUAGGAAUUGCCAAGGGGGGCGCCAUAUCUCCAGUGGUAGUUUUGCAAGAUUUCUACGCCACGAACAGGCAAAACACUCUUGUGAACCCGAUAGAUCUUUUAUAUGGCCUUCAAAAGUUGGUUAAGGGCAAGAACCCUGUUGGCAAGGAGGGAGGGACCUUGACACUGCUGCAUGCUAACAGGGAAGGAGGGGCUCACAAAGGCUCACUUGUUUUAGGGAGACGAAAAGUGGGAAAGAAAAUGUUGAAAAAUGUCCGAAAAGGUGAAAAAAUGUGCCACAAAAUGCCUGCAAUCAAGCAAAGUGUGAAAAAUUGUCAAAAGUAUAAAAUAUAUUAAAAAAGAGAUGGAGGAAAAGUUAAAAAAAUGUGCAAAAAUGUAUGGAAAGUGAUUUUUUUUAAAUAUACGAAGUUAAAAAUAUGAAAAAAAGUUACAAAAAUUCCUGACCAGAUGCCUGCCGGUACAAACCAGCUGAUGCGAAAUAACUUCAUCUUUUCUGUCCUGCCCUGCCACACGUAGGUUACUAGUAGUAGGGGCAGUAAACAGACACCCUCGCCAUAGACUGAUAGGUCUUCUGGUGUCUGUUCUUCCUAUGUAUUCCUAUGUAAAUAACCCAAUUGGCUUCCACAAGUGCCUCGAUCCUUGGCCAGCUUGAAGAGUUCUGCGUCCAGGCCGAGACGGUGAGCCUGGUGACUG